rnacentral:rRNA from 1 species
AGUGAACGCUGGCGGUGGGCCUAACACAUGCAAGUCGAACGACCGCACAGUAAGAGCUUGCUCUUACGGGUGGCGAGUGGCGGACGGGUGAGGCAUGCAUCGGAUUCUACUUUUUCGUGGGGGAUAACGGGAGGCCGCUUCCGAUACUACAGCAUACGACCUACCGCAGGGAGCAGUAGAUAAUCGCGCCUUUCGCGAUUCAUUGAGACGAUGUCGGAUUAGCUAGUUGGUGGGGUAAAGGCACACCAAGGCGACGAUCCGUAGCCGGUCUGAGAGGAUGAUCGGCCACACUGGAACUGAGACACGGUCCAGACUCCUACGGGAGGCAGCAGUGGGGAAUAUUCCACAAUGGGCGCAAGCCUGAUCCAGCCAUACCGCGUGAGUGAAGAAGGUCUUCGGGUCGUAAAGCCCUUUUGUUGGGAAAGAAAAGCAGCAUGUGAAUACCCCGCUGUUCUGACGGUACCCAAAGAGUAAGCACCGGCUAACUUCGUG